UAGCAUUCUUUUCCAAAGUAGUUCGAGCUCCGGUACAGGGUAUGCCGGCGUGUCUCAGAGCAUUGAUAGCAUGUGCAAUGGCUGUUGAAACUGCUACUACUAUCACACUAGGGCAUCCUACAAUACUUCAUGCCAGUCACCAGGUCACUCAGCUGAUAACAAAUCUCACCACACAACACAUGACAGCCCAGCGCUUCAGUGGUUAUGAGAUUCUUUUUUUUUAAAUACCCAGAAUCUGUCUUUUGGAUUAAACAAGGUUUAGAGAAAGAUCAAAAUGAUCUGUUCUCUAAAGAGGGGAGAAUAGGCAUACUUGGAGAAUAGGCAUACUUGAAGAAUAGGCAUACUUGAAGCAAGCUGAUUUAUUUUCAUCAGUCAGGCACAUAGCAAGCACCAUUCAAUUCUUCAUGAAUUCAUUUUAUAUUAGGAAUCUCAGGCAGCAUGUACAGUCUUUUGUAAGAUCGUGUGAACACUGCUCUUUUUAC